ensembl:snRNA U6 U6 spliceosomal RNA
GAACUCACUUCAGCACAUAUACUAAAACUGGAAUGAUACAGAGAUUAGCAUAGCCCCUGCACAAGGAUGGCAUAUAAACCUGUGAAGCGUUCCAUACUUUU